rnacentral:rRNA from 1 species
AAUCUUCCGCAAUGGUCGAAAGUCUGACGGAGCGAUGCCGCGUGCUUGAUGAAGGUCUCCGGAUCGUAAAACCCUGUUGCUAGGGAAUCACAAGUAUCGGCGUCAUAUGCCGGUACCUUUACGGUACCUAACCAGAAAGCCCCGUCCAACUUCGUGCCAUCAGCCGCGGUAAUACGUAGGGGGCAAGCGUUGUCCGGAAUUAUUGGGCGUAAAGGGCACGCAGGCGGUUAUUUAAGUCUGAUGUGAAAUCUUGUGGCUUAACCACAAGCGGUCAUUGGAAACUGGAUAACUUGAGUACAGAAGAGGAGAGUGGAAUUCCACGUGUAGCGGUGAAAUGCGUAGAGAUGUGGAGGAACACCAGUGGCGAAGGCGGCUCUCUGGUCUGUAACUGACGCUGAGGUGCGAAAGCGUGGGUAGCGAACA